UACAGAGGGUGCGAGCGUUGUUCGGAAUUAUUGGGCGUAAAGCGCUUGUAGGCGGCCUGUCAAGUCGCGUGUGAAAUCCCCUGGCUUAACCAGGGAAGUGCGCGCGAAACUGAAGGGCUUGAGUGCCGGAGAGGGUCGCGGAAUUCCCGGUGUAGAGGUGAAAUUCGUAGAUAUCGGGAGGAACACCAGUGGCGAAGGCGGCGACCUGGACGGACACUGACGCUGAGACGCGAAAGCGUGGGGAGCAAACAGG
rnacentral:rRNA from 1 species